CCGUCACGUGGCUGGCCCUUGGGGGCGCUACGGACCACGUGAUCUGGCUGGCCGGGAGGGGAGGGGAGGGGCGGGACUCGCUGCCCCUCCUGCCUUACACCCCGGCUUCGGGGAUCCGUUCUAGCCAGGACCACCCGGCCGGAAGCCGGGGAGCGGAAACCGGUAAAAGCCGCGCGGGCGCCCGGCCCUGACGACGGAACACAGGACGAUGUGGUAGCGCUUCUCUGGGUCCCUGGAUCUGGACAACAGGUCCAGGACAGGGUGAGCCCUGCUCGGCCCGAGUGCGUGGGUCUGAGUAGAGGAAGGGAGCACAGAAUCCCCAGGAUCUGGAGCUCCUUAGAGGCAAGGCCUGUGUCUUGCUCACCAUCGUCCCCACUGCUGAGCCAGGUACACUCAGGAAACCUUCAGAUUAAGCUUUCAGUCAUGUUCAACAAUUUGCUGUAUUCUGUGGAAAAAGAAAACUGCUUCAGGACUUGCACCGGGGUGUUCUCUUGACUGAAAUAUAUUAAAAUGCGGUAACGGCAGCUCACUUUAAUCAAGUGUGCCAAAGACUAAACAUAAAUAAACUUCCACGGGGGAGGAGAAGGCACACCUGUCCUCACAACUCUCCUUCCGUGCAGCCUCGAAACUGAUUUAGCGAUAUUCCCAUUCCCAGAAGCAACAUCGCUCCUCUAACUCAAUUAAGUAACACGCUUUUUCCAGAAGGGUUAAUGUUGAAAACAGGAGAGUAAGCUAGCAACAGUCCUUGAUAGGUUAAACCAGUGUUUCCGAAGGGGGGCCUGUGGCAGAAUCUGCUGGGGUGCCUGUCCCAAAUGCCCGAGCUGCCACGAGGUGGUC